UCAGGGACUGAACCUGUGUAUCCUGCAUUGGCAGACGGAUUCUUUACCACUGAGCCACCAGGGAAACUCUAAAAAUGUUUAAAGUUUAAAAUGUAUUGAGCAUUUGCUUUAUAUUUAGUUUAAAAGUAGUGUUUACCAUGUGUCAAGCAUUAUUCCAGGUACUUCAUAAAUAUUUCCUAACUUACUAGUUCUUAAAGUGUGGCCUCAUGACCAUAGGGUUCCUCAAUGUCCAAAGGGUCUCUUUGAGGUCCCUUUGCUAGCUAUUCAUCAAUGACAGGCUACAUGUUCUUCCUAUAGGUAAUACAAAUCAGCAUAUCAUGAUUGACUGAAUGUGCACAUGCAGAUCUUAGGGGCCAGCUCUCUGAUAAUGAGCUAGAUUUUAAAGAGAUUUGCAAAAAUAUGGAACAAUGUCACUGUCCUCAGCACUUGUUUGUUUGUUUUGGAGCAUAGUUAAUUUUUAUUGAAAAAAUUCAUGCUAACAUGUCAUGUGUCUGUUUUAAACUAAUCAGUGUUUUUUAAAAACAGCUUAAAUUUCUAGUUACAGUAGAUAUCAGUAGAUGUAACAUGUUUAACAAGAUCUCUUUAAGGUCUUCAACAGUUCUGAAGAGUCCCUGAGAGCGAAAAGUUUGAGAACUGCUGCCUUACUACUUCCUAAGAAGUGUUAUUUUACUCUACAACAGAGGAAACUGAGAUACAGAGAAGUCAAAUCACUUGCCUGAGGUCAGACAAGCUGAUCUGGAAUUCUGGAGCAGUUUGGCUGAGCAGUCCUGAUACGGAAUCUCUCAGGAGACUGCAUUCAAGAUAUCAGCAGGGGCUGCAUCAUUAUCUGAAGCCUUGACUGGGGCUGGAGGAGCCACUUCCGAGAUGGUGCCCUCACGUGGCUGUCAACAAGAGGCCUGAGUUUCUCUCCCUGUGGGACUGUCUCCCAGAGCUGCUUGAGUGUCCUGUGGCAUGGUAGCUGGCUUCCCUCAGAGGAGUGUCAAGAGAACCCUGAAGCAACAAUUCCUUUUAUGACCUAGCUUCAGAAGUCAUAGACAGUCAUCUCUGCCACAUUCUCUUAGAGGUCAGUCACUAAGUUCUGCCUCUCAUUCCAGGGGAGGGCAAUUAGGCUCCAAAUUUUUCUUUUUUUUUUUUUUUUUUUGGCUGCUGUAGCAUAUGGGAAUCAAACCCAUGACCCCUGCAGUGGAAGCAUGGAGCCCCAACCACUGGACCACCAGGGAAUUCCCUAGAUUGCACCUUUUAAAGAUAGGAAGAUCACAGAACUCCUGAAUAUAUUUUGAAACCAUCACAACAGGCAAUGAUAGAGCUGAGGAGCCAAACAAGAUUGUGAGACAAAAGCAUAGGUUAUCAACAGCAGAAAGAUAUUAAUCCACUUAGGACUACAGAAAGGAAGGGAGGAAGUAGGACUAUCAGAGCCCAGGAGCCAGGACCAUCCAGUAGAAACUGGACUUUCAGAGGAUCUGGAGCCUCGAACAUGCAGUCACUGGCAGAGAUGCUUCCCAAAGCAGAAAGGGAGACAAAUGCUCUGGCUUCUUCCUUCCUCGGCCCUCCAAUCUUUUGCCAGUGCCUGUGACUGGUUAGGAAGCAGAGUGAAGGGGAGCCUGGGAAACAGAUUUCCUUGUGAUACAGAGGUGAGCAGAGAAGGCCAGGAUGGGUAUAAGAUGAAGGUCCUAGCACGUCCCAGGACGGCUUAUUUGAUUAGGUGAUGACAUUAUGGUUAAACUUGUCUUGAAUUUUCAUUUUUAUAUCAAUAUUGUUCUUCAUAAAGUAACAUUUAAAAACUGAAAAUGAAAAAAAGAAAAGAAAAAU